rnacentral:rRNA from 1 species
GAUGAACGCUGGCGGCGUGCCUAAUACAUGCAAGUCGAGCGAACAGACGAGGAGCUUGCUCCUCUGACGUUAGCGGCGGACGGGUGAGUAACACGUGGAUAACCUACCUAUAAUACUGGGAUAACUUCGGGAAACCGGAGCUAAUACCGGAUAAUAUAUUGAACCGCAUGGUUCAAUAGUGAAAGACGGCUUUGCUGUCACUUAUAGAUGGUUCCGCGCCGCAUUAGCUAGUUGGUAAGGUAACGGCCUACCAAGGCAACGAUGCGUAGCCGACCUGAGAGGGUGAUCGGCCACACUGGAACUGAGACACGGUCCAGACUCCUACGGGAGGCAGCAGUAGGGAAUCUUCCGCAAUGGGCGAAAGCCUGACGGAGCAACGCCGCGUGAGUGAUGAAGGUCUUCGGAUCGUAAAACUCUGUUAUUAGGGAAGAACAAAUGUGUAAGUAACUAUGGACGUCUUGACGGUACCUAAUCAGAAAGCCACGGCUAACUACGUG